UCACCUCCCCCACCUUUUUUUCAGGUAUCGUGGGCGAUGAGUAGUGGGACGAGACGUGAGGUACGCGUGUAGCGGUCGAUAGAGCUUUCGACCCGGGUUAUUUCGGUUUACUUUCUUACCCUUCUUAUUUUGGCUGAUGAAUAGUUUAGUUGGUUUAUGUGGUUCAGUGUUUAUUUACAUUUGAAAAUGUGGAUUUCUGAAUUUUGUAAAAUAAAAGGUUUUCUACCCCUCGUGGUAGCGUUUUUAAAGAAUAAAAGUUCCUGUGUAGGAACAGUUUUUCAAAAGAUUUUCUAUGGAUUUUGCAUCUUAGUAUUUCAAAACUUGUUUCUGUGGUUGGAAACAUUUUAACUAAUAGAUGUGGAUUUAUGCUUUUAAAUAUUGAAUGUAAAAAUGUGAACCUGUGGCGAAUGGUGUAUGAAUAUAUAACUGUGGUUAUUUGUAUGUUCAUCUGGUUGUGGUUGUAUCAUGUUUGAACUCUUGUACUUGUGCGACGCCGUGCAAAUACAGGGGAGACUCUGUCCGUGUGGACAGUGGAUCUUCUGUAUUUGUGGCGGAUCUGGCAUACCCUCGGGUCAGGUUUUCAA
rnacentral:lncRNA from 1 species